rnacentral:rRNA from 1 species
AUUGAACGCUGGCGGCAGGCCUAACACAUGCAAGUCGAACGAGUGGCGGACGGGUGAGUAAUGUAUGGGGAUCUGCCUGAUAGAGGGGGAUAACUACUGGAAACGGUAGCUAAUACCGCAUACCAUCGGAUGAACCCAUAUGGGAUUAGCUAGUUGGUGGGGUAACGGCUCACCAAGCCGACGAUCUCUAGCUGGUCUGAGAGGAUGACCAGCCACACUGGUACUGAGACACGGCCCAGACUCCUACGGGAGGCAGCAGUGGGGAAUAUUGCACAAUGGGCGCAAGCCUGAUGCAGCCAUGCCGCGUGUAUGAAGAAGGCCUUAGGGUUGUAAAGUACUUUCAGCGGGGAGGCGUUACCCGCAGAAGAAGCACCGGCUAACUCCGUGCCAGCAGCCGCGGUAAUUC